rnacentral:piRNA from 1 species
UUGAAUGUUAGAAGUGAUGGGAAAAAAGUU